GGAGGAGGAGGAGGAGGAGGAAGAGCAGGAGAGCUCCAGCACCAACCCCAACGGCUCCCCAGGGAGGAGGAGGAGGAGGAGGGGAUGAAGGCCACGCACCAAAGCCCUGAGGAGGAGGAGGAAGAGGAGGAGGAGGAAGGGGAGGAAGGCCGCACACACAGGCAUGGGACGGGGCAGAGGAAGAGGAGGGGGAGGAAGAGGAAGAUGAAGAAGACACAGGGCAGGGGCGAGGAAGAGGAGGGCGAGGAAGGCUCCGCUGCCAGCAGGAGGAGGAGGAGGAAGAUGAGGAAGAAGAGGCAGAGGAAGAGGAGGAAGAGGAGGCAGAGACACAGCAGGACGAGGAAGAGGAGGCCGAGGAAGGCACAGAGGAGGAAGAGCAGCAGGCACAGGGAGAUGAGGAAGAUGAGGGGGAGGAAGAGGAAGAGCAGCAGCAGCAGCAGCAGCAGCGGAGGAGGAGGAUGAUGAGGCCGAAGGCCCCGCCCGCUCCCCUCCCCCCCCGGUGCUCCCGGUGCUCCCGGUGGGGGGGGCG
rnacentral:lncRNA from 1 species